AUAUAGCUCUGAUGUCAUCGAUGAAUGAAAGGAGAGGGCUUCUCUUAUUUCUUCUUACAACCCAACCCAAAAGCUGGAUUGUGUUGCAGCAAGGCAGCCGAGGCCCAAGGUGGAUUCUAAUAAACAGAGGAUUCAAAUUGAAAGCGGCGAAGAAGGAUCACAACCUUCAACACAGAGUCCAUUCACCAUUUUAAAUGCAUAUAAUGCUGGUAGAGAUAUUUUGUGAGAAUACCCUUGAUCGGGAGGGGGUUCAGGUUGAAUGGUAGCAGGACGGAAGCUGAGGGGGAGAUCACGGAAAUGUUUCGAACCGUUUACGUUUAUUGCAAAAACGGCACCACAUCAGCAUCUGGGAAGAUAAACGUUUUUUGGCUCAAAAAUUACUGUUUAGUGCAAGGUAAACGUUUAUCCAUUUAUUUGCAUUGGUUUUCGUGCAUAUAGCCAUUGGGGAAAAUGAGAAUAUCUCGCUUUCCCCAACGGCUGGGCGUUGCUGAAGUGGAUCCGAUGUGGGUGCUGAUGUGUUUGUCUAGCGGUGUUGAUCUGGUGCAACCCGGAUCUACCAUUCUAAAGGUGGAUCUUUUUCCUCACUCGAUAACCUAAAGCAUUAAAGAUAGAUCUUCUUCCUCACUCUUUCGCUGCCUCAGAAUAGAACACCCGGAUCUACCAGUCCAGCGACGACCGGAGAGAGGUUUCUUGAGCGGAGGGAGGAGCAGCAGCCGCCAGUUUUAGAGAGUGUUGCCGCAUCUAAAGGUUUUAGAGAGAGAGGGAGAGAGUGUUUCUCGCCGCCGUAUGUUCUCUGAGUGUUGCCGCAUCUAUUUUCGUCAAUUAUUUUUUAUACUUUUCUUCAGUCUUCAACAUACCAGCUUGAGUAUUAUUUCUUUCUACAAAUUCCUGUUCAAGACCCAAAAUAUAUUAUUAUAUGUUGAGACUUGAGGGACCUAAUUGAAUUCCUGUAAUUUGUAUAUACCUUCCACCUGAACAGCCAGUGUUGACAAACAAUCUAGUGGCACCGUGCUUUCUCCAUUUUCUCGGCCAGCAUUGUUGCACAUUUGGUAGGAUGGAGCAUGAUGAAUGCUUCUCCAAAGGCGGGGGAGAAUGUCGCUUGUGGCUCCUUUAUACCGUCAUCUCUUCCGGCCACCUCUUUUUUUUUCAGAUAAAAAAGGCCAUCAAAAUGCUUCUCCCGGUACUUGAUGGUGCGCGAUCUAGCUAUUCCUAGUUGGAAGGUAAUCUGAAUUCUAAUUGGGCGGCAUGUUAGACAGUUCUGCAAAACAGUGGAUCAGAGAACCCGAACCUAUGCCAAGUGUUGAUGCAACUAACCUUCUACGGAGUGUUCAAAGGGGAAAGAAGAGAAAGGCCUCAAAGAGGUCCCAUUGGGAGGAGGUCGGUCCUUCGGUUCCGGCCCAACCCGAGGUCCCUGCGCCAGAGCCGAUCUCGACUGAGCUCCCGAAGGAGGAGGUUCGCCCCCAGUCUCUAGUUGUUGACCUGGAUGAGGACCAGGACGAAGGGACCCCACCUCGCGAGCCCGAGUGUACUUCGGUGCCCGAGCCUCAUCCCUUGAAGGAGAGCAUAAUGACUCCGCGGCUCGGGUUUCUUAAGAGUAAGGAUGUCGUGUUUCCUGUGGAGGUCGCGGAAUGGGCUGACAUGCCAAUGAGUCAACUUGGAGGAAGAGCAGCUAGUUACUGUGAACUCCGCUAUCCAUUCACUCGUCUACCAAUCUGAGAUCCAUUUGAAGCAAGCUCGAGAGGCCGAAGAAAAUGCUCGGAAACUUUACCGCGAGAUGGAUUUAGCUCGGGUGAUGUUCUUCGAGCCAAGAAGGGAGCUCGGAGCUAGGAGGAGGUGAUCCUUGUACUGACGGAGGAGAAGAAGAAACUCAAAGGGAAGAAGGAGGCUUUCCUUUGGGAGAACGAGAACCUCGAGGCGAUGAUCAAGGAGCGCACCGAGAUCUUCAACACCACCAUCCAGGAGGCGCGGGUUCAAGAGAGAGAUCGCACCGUCGAGGAGUUCAAGGAGUCCCCUAAGUUUUACGAACUUCAGGUCGAGUAUGGAUCUAACUCAUACCGGUCAGGCUUCAAGCUUUGCAAGUGGCUAAUGUGGCGGAAGUUUCCCGAGCUCGACUUCGGAUUUAUUUCCAUGUCCACCGUCACUCCUAAGAUGGCGAAGGAGGCUGACAAGGAACCCGACUCCUCCGAAGGGGAGAGUGAUGGUGAAAUUCUCGAGGCGAGGCCGUCAGGGGAGGCAGGCCGAGAGGACGUGGAGGAGGACCACAUGGAAACCGACCUACCUGCUGGAGGGGAUUCUGGCAGAUCUAAUGCUUAGUCGUGCCUCUUUUCUUGGACCCCCCUACAUACAAUGUAUAUCCCAGGCCUCCGAGUUCGGUUGUAGUUGUUUUUUUUUUUUG